GCUGGGCAUAGUGGCAUGUGCCCAUAGUCCCAACUACUCCAGAGGCUGAGGCAGGAGGAUCACUUGAGCCCAGAAGUCAGCCUAUUCAGGCAACAUAGUGUUCAAGGCAAUAUAGUGAAACCUUUUCUCAA
rnacentral:sRNA from 1 species